rnacentral:lncRNA from 1 species
AUGCUAUACUAGUGCUUUCUGUUCUCGGUGACUAUAGUUGACAAAGAAGGUCUGAACAUCCUCUCAUUGAAACUCUAGAGAUGGUGAGAAGGCAAAAGGACGUUGAUCUGACAGUUCCACAUGCUGCUGGAAGGAACAGUAUCAAAGGUUAAUUCAUCAGACUAGGAACACACAAGAGAAGAAACUGAUGGGGAUCAUCAGACUAGGCAUAAACUAGCGGAGAUGCACAGUUGCCAUUGCAGUUCGAUGAACAACUGCCAAGUCGUUCCGCGAUAGCAAAUGGCAACAACGCCCUUCUACCCUUCCGCAUCUCCGCCUCCGUAUCCUUCGUCGCCAACUGCCGCCGGUGAGCCGGGGACCUCGCCGAGGAAGCCUGCCGCCGGCCCGCCCCGCAGAUGAGAAUAAGAGCCGGGACCCGAAUCAGGGGGAUUUAUGCAAAAAGUUGGAUCGCGAUUAUUGAUCGUGAUCCAAAUUAGGGGUCUUUUGAAAAAUGUAAGGAGUUUUGUGAAAAUAAUCGAAUCGCGAUCCAAAUUAGGAGUUAUUUUGUAAAAUGCAAGGGGCAUUUCGUAAAACCAGGUCUUCUUCCUCCUCUCGCCCGCUGGAUUUCGCUGAGACUCGCCGUCUCAUCCUCUGCCCAAUGGGGCAGCUUAAGCAGGGCAUCCCAUGCCCGCCGUAAGAAGACGAGCGAGUAUGGAGGUCAUUAUCACCACGUAGCGGGAGCUCGACGCCGCCGCCGUCCGCGUCCACUGGCGAUAGACAGACCAGGAGGACACGAAGCUCCGCUCCUCCGUCCCGGGAGCCGGGACCUACGCAGCGCAGCCUCGUCGCACACCACUCCUACUCCAUGGCGCCGCCGUUGGCCGGCCGCCGCCGACAUUCCGGAUUCUAAGCCUCUCGCUGCUCGCUCCUCCAUGCCCCCUGCUUUCCCUUUCCUCCUCUGCUCCUGCUUUUGCUUCCUUGAAGAAUAAUGCAUGGUAGAUCAGUAGAUGUGUCGAGUCAGUUAUCUAUUGUGUUCUUGUAUAUCUGCAAAAGUGACGACGGACAAAUUUCCUCUAUUUCCUUUUCUUUCCGGGCGUGCAAUGGGUGAAGGACAGAUUUCUUCAGAUAACGAGUGGUGCUGGUGCAUGCUGGAAAUAUUUCUGUGCAGAGGUUAUCGAUUCCUACCCAAGUCAGUCUAGAUCGUUUCAUGGUUUAAACCAUGACUGUUGCGUGCUAAGUAAACCCUCCAAAUUUGAAACGGCAAUGUCAUCCUCUGAAAUCAGCUCACUUCAUCUGUUUAUCUACAAACAAGUACACAAGUAUGAACAGUCAACGUAUACGUAAUGCUUAUACAUUACACCGUAGUCGUGAAAUUGCUCAUGUUCGUGCCGAAUGAACAAGGAUUAGGCAGGCUCUUCUGCCAGAAUUACCUACUCCAAAAGCAACCAUCUUGUCCCGUGACCUGUAUGGACCGUCAGUUCAACAGAUCACAGAUGUGAUCUUCAUUUCUGUACUUUCCUUCAUUUUAGCUUGGUACCGAGUGAAGGCAAAGCUUCAGAAUGCAUUAGCUGAUGGCAACGCUACUUUGGAAUGCCAUCGAUCCCGCUCUUCGAAAAAGCGAAGAAACCUAAAAAGAAAGCCCUGGAUCUCUCUGGGUUUCAGAAAUCACAGCUGAGCUCGUUUCAAGUAAACCAUAACUGCUGCGCCACUGAGAGCAACUGCACCAGCCAUCAACCCAACAUGAACCGGCGAUAUCCCACUCCUGCUGGGAGGUGGUGCCAGCUGCUGUGACGGUUUUGUCACUUCGGUAUUCAAACCAGGAUCUUCGAUGUGCAACUUCAGCACCUAACAGUGAGCAUUCAGUUUGGUCAGGUGGAUUGAGCUAGUAACUUGUAGCCCAACAACUUGCCAUUGAAUAAACAAUCACAGCAGGCAAGAAAAAUGUUACCUUCAACCCAGAUGACUUGGCAUGGAGCACUGCACCAGCCAGAUCGGCGUCUGUUGUCAGCAGCACUCGGUCGCCUUCAUCAUCUUCAUACUACAUAGAACAAGACCAGUUUAAGUUGGUUAGUGCAGUCAAAUCCCCAUCAUCUUAAAUAGAUGGAAUGAUUAUUGAAAUUUGUUUGUAGCAUCACUGAUGAGAUUACGCAGAGAUGAUGAUGAUGAUGAUGACACAAAGUCAUGAAUGAUAGUACACACAUUGAAGCCCAUAAACACUUUUUCAUUGACAGAACAAGGAAAACUUGCUAUCAGGGUAGCCCCUCGCGGGCCUCCCAAAGGGAGUCCUGCUACGCCAAAAGCGAGGGGACAAUUAAUACCUACCUAUUAGACCCUGGGAAUAUUCUCAAUCCAAAUGCCUACUAAAUUAUAGGAAUAUUCCCAUGCCAAAAUACUCAAUCUUACCAAGAGUUGCAAUGUCUCCUUUUCAUCUGUAAUACUUAAUCUUUGCCUUAUAGAAGACACAAGCUCAUCCAAGCUCUCAGAGCCUGCAGUGAUGAAUUAUGACAAAUUAAUAACCAAUUAUAUUUGGAGAAUCACAACCAUAUCAUACAUCUGCAGGCAAAGUAUGGAACAGGUAAAUACCACAGGUGAAUCUAUGCACACGGCCCUUUCUGUCUUGAAGCUUAAAGGAAAAUGAAUUGCCAAUCACAGGGGGAUAAACACUACUCUUUCCAUCUCCAGCCUCUGAUGGCAGGAGUAAGGAUACCUCACUGAGAAAUACAAGCAAAAUUAUAUUAUAGGAAAACAGAAGAAGACAAAAUAAUACUCAAAAGACCCAUGAACAAACCUAUGACUAUCAAACUCCUCAUCUGGAGGCUCCAAAGCAAGAGCAGAGUCCCAGAACCUCUGCAUUACUGAGUUUGCGACAUCAUUUACAGUUCCAUUCCCUCCUUCAACCUAAAAGUAAAGAAUUAGAUGGAGAAAUUCAGCAUAUGAAACAGAAGAGAGCUGAUGAAAGGAUUAUGGAGUUAGGAAUCACCAAUUGAAUGGUUGCAUGGGUAAGUUGCAGGACAUCCAGGCAAGCAGCAAUUUGUCCAUCUGGUUACAAAAAUGAAGACAUGUAACAGAUAGAGUGGCAGUAAAAUAUUCAUAGACAGAGACAGAAAUCAGGUCGGUCGCACCUCUGUCAAUAACAGGAAUAUGCAAAAAUUUGCCAUCAUGCAUUAUAUGUAGUGCAUCGAGAAUUGUUGUAUCUAAGGUGGCACAAUCUGGGUUGGCAGUCAUCACCUGAAAAAGUUAUAACUAACACAGUUAGGGUGCAACUAAACAAAACUUCGAUAAUGAGAACAAAGAAAAAUAUAAAUAUGGUGGAAUACCUUUUCUACUAGGGUCAACUCAGGGGAAAUAUUUUGUGCAACAACACGCAUAAGUACAUCUUUUGAGCUGCAUAACAUGAUCAUAUAUCAGCGAAUAAUUAGCAAGUAAAUCAUGUACACUACUACUUUACUAAUAUAGAAUGCUUACGUAAAGAUUCCCUGCAAUGUGUUUCCUGUAGCAACGACCACCGAAUUAACUCGAAACUCUCGCAUUUUCUGUGCUGCUACACACACAGGAUCUGUAGGCGAAACAAUUGCUACUCUGGAAGUUGAUAGCAUAGUAAGCACUAUGUUCUCUAUAUUGCUAACAAUUGAAAGAAAAUAGUCUGAGAAAACGGAUGUUAUACUUUGUGUUCUCUGUGAUGAUGGUUGACAAAGAAGGUUUGAACAUCCUCUCUCGUAGAGUUUCAAUGAGAGCAGAAGGAGCUGUAAUAAUAGUAAAUAAAUACCUUUAAAUGAUUGGUAGCAUAAUAGAAAGUAAAAAAAAGAGUUUUGAAACGUGGUUACAAAAAUCAUGAUAUGUAACAGUAGAACAGGAUAUACCUAACAAGUUGGUAUGAUACGAAUUUUUUCACUUGGAUUUAGAAUGAUAAGGCAUACCAUGAUUAUUACUCCCUCCAUCCCAAAUUAUAGAUUGUUUUGGCUUUUCUAGAUGCAUAGAUAUUAGUAUGCAUCUAGACAUAGCAUACAUCUAAGUACAUAACGAUAUCUAUGAAUCUAAAAAAGUCAAAACAACCUAUAAUUUGGGUCGGAGGGAGUAUUUUAUAAAAUAUAACUUAUAUGUUAUAUCAAUGUACUUGCAAGACUAAAUGUUUUUUUUAAUUGAGAUAGCAUGUGUAAUGCAAGACCUGAAAAGUUGCCUCCUAAUUGACGUUCAACUCCUUCAACAGCAGCUGCUAUUGCACUUCCUUGUUCUGCAGCCUUUUCAAGUCUUGCUAUUGCGUCAUAAAGGCAUUUUGCAAUGUCCAACAUAGCAAUAACCUCACCAUUUUCUACUACAGGAAGGUGUCGAAAUUUCCCUAAAAUAUAAAACAAUAUAUAAGAAAAGCUGAUGUUAGUGAAGAAAGAAACAAAUAUCCAACUAAGUGUUGACUCAGGGUUUAUAUGAAAAGACAUGAGAACAGCCAGUCUACACAUACACAGUAUAUACACAAAUAUUGUUGUUGAAAUCAUGCCAAAAACUCAGCAACAUGCCAAACAAAUCCUAGACAUCUCACCAUCCCAAUCAAUUCAUUUGUUACUGAAAAAUUGAGGACUGAGAUACAAUACAGCUAAAUAUGCCUAACCAUCUACCAAAAACUGUGUUUUCAUUGCAAGCAAGUUCAGCCAGUUUGACAGCGACUUAUGGACACAUAUACAUCACAUGAUAAAGUACAAAUUGUUUUUUUCCGCAACAUAAGGUUGUGUUUUGAGACAUAGAAAAUUUGCAUAUUGGUAACAGAAAAAGAUAUGAGUCACACAAGACUUUCAGAAUGUAGCCAAUACUGUUACCAAAAAAAUGUACUCAAAUGGUUAGUGCACUACAAUUACAUAUAAAGAGAACAGCCCACUAUAAAUUAGUGAAAAUAACAGGAAUACACUUGCUCUACUUUGUUUUCAUAUUGUACAUACAAACAGAUAUCUAAUGAACUCUAUCAAAGGGAAUGCCUCACUAGACAUACCUUGAACCAUCUUCUGCAAUGCCUCAAUGGCAAGAGAAUCAGACAUCACAUAAGUUGGAUUGCGUGUCAUGAUCUUGGACAUGAUGGUUUGCUCCACCCUAAGCCCCUCAGCAAUCACCCUUGUAGCUAUAUCCUGCACCCCAAUUCGAAUACAAACAAAUAUGAACAAGAGUCACCUCACCAGUAGUAAAAAUAGGCCAUCACCUGCUUGGUUAAAAAGGAAUUUACAAGGCUGCUUACUUAAAAUUGCUCCAUAGAACAUAAUGAUGAAAAAAUAGAUGCCAGACAGAAGUCAUGUGCAAACCAUCAUCAUUUUACCUUGACUACAUAGAUAGUCUUAGGCAGAAACUAACUACUAAUCAAGUACAAGAACAUUCUCUUCCAUUUUCAGGUCUAGGAAAAACAGAAGGGGAACGAAAAUGGGAAAAAUAUACAGUGGUAAAGCAAAAUAGCAAUGAGUUGUCCAAGUUUGGUAAAAAAAUUGCUUGAUCAAAAGCUCCAAAUAAACGGGAACUUUGUUUUAACAGAAACAGCCACUUGCUAAGCUCCAAACCAAGGAUCUAAUCCAAACAUAGAUUUCCACCCCCCGUACUGAGAAGAUAUGUGGCAUUUUCGACUCCUGUUACAUCAAAUUCAAAAGGUAUCACAUUUUCCUCAGCUCUGAAUGACUAUAAAAGCACAACGGACACACAUUAUAACCAUCACAUUCAACCCAAAAAUAAAGAAAGUAAAAAAGAACACAACCUUGUCGGUGACUAUGCCUGAGAGGAGGCCCUGGGCGUCGGUGAGCAGCACGGCGUCGACCCGCCUCGCCGCCAUCCGCCGGCACGCAUCUGACACCGUGGUCCCCUCCGGAAUCGUCAGCGCCUUAGACAGACGCAGCUUCUUCACCGUCCUCUCCCCUCUGCCCAAACAGACCAAGUAAAAGUCCAAUCUUUGCCGGUCUCGGUUCGAACCGAGGAGACGAAAUGGAAGGACAAGAGUGGCGUAGGCUUGCCGCGCGCUUACGUGAGCUGGUGGGGAGAGGCGGGCUUGGAGGCGGCCUUCCCGUUCCCAUUCCCGUUGGCGGCGGCGGCCGAGGGGUCGUCGGACUUGCGGGAGGAGGCGGAGGGCGGCCGGCUGCGGGUACGGCGGCUAGGUGGCGCCGCCGAAGCGGCUGCGCUCAUGGCGAUGUUUUGCCGCGGGAGCUCGUGGGGAAUAGUGAGGCGGCGGCGGCGGCCGGCGAGGUGGGGAGCAGCUGAUGGAGCGGUGCUUCUGCUCCGUUUCUCCUGACCUCCGGGGCUCCUUCGUUAGCGUGUGGAUGUUUUGCGUUUCAGUCACUCCAGUCCUGGGUUAUCAUGAAAACCUCGUGGUUUGGGAGUUUUCGGACUCAGAAUCCAUUCUUGCUAUUUUUUUUCUGUUUUAAUUAAAACUAAGUUUUCAGCCUAUUGGAAAAAGAUACCACGAUUUACGGUAAUAAUCUUAAAAGAGAACUAAGUUUUCAGACGAUUGGAAAACGAUACCACCGAUUUACGUAAUAAUUUUAAAAGAUACUAUAUCGCAAACUUAGCUAAUUAGCAGCAGCGUAGGAUAACGUGACACUAUCACCGGUCAACUCGCAACGCACAAGCUCAGUGCAUCCUUUUUUUCUUCAAUAGUUUUUUUUGUCUUCAAGAGUUUGCUAACUUUUCAUGACUGAUAAAAAAAAGUUUGCAAAUCAUAAAAAUCUAAGGUGCGCAAACUGUCAAGAUUGGUAAAGUUUUAGGCAAUAAUGAUGCGGUUAAUUCUAAUUCACCCUAGUGCAAAACCUCUAUAUUUCAUCAUUUUUUGGAAAUUUAUCAUGGUAUUUUGAUGACUAGUUGUUAGUAUGCAGUAUGCUUCCUCAAUUGGCACGGUGUUGGUGUGACUGGAUACGGUCGUAGGAACGGUUUUUGGCUAGCAAUGAAUAAGAUCAUGCUAUAUGUUACAAAACAUUAUUAGAGGUCUCCUAAACAGCUCGCCAUUUCAAAGAGUAAUCCAGGCAUCAUUGAAUAAGUACCACAGCUGUUUCUUUCGCUCGCUUGUAGACUUGUACCUGUGGCGGCCAUCCCUUUCUUUGGGACACGAAGGCCAGGCAUCCCAAUCGGGCAGUAAUAACGCGAUAGGUGCAGGGCCUCAUCGAAACAUUCCCCCCAUCAAUUAUAUUUGUAGCAGAAUAUUUGUUAUGCUAAAAAAAGCACUCAUUAACUCGUCAUUGACUCGCAAACCGCGUGCACCACAUGGCCCGCACCCUCCGUAUAUGGCCGUAUCCCACCGUCCCCACAACACCCCCACCGCGUGGGCCCCGCCGCGCAGGAUCGCGUCCACGGUGCACCGGGUCCACGCAGCUUCCCCUCGCCACCGGCCGCCGGGAUGCGGAUUUGAAAAUUUUGAACUUGCGGCCCGCCCCCCGCGGGAUGGAGCCAGCAGCAAGGACCCCUCAAACUUUCGGGAAAUUCCGUACAGACCCCUCGGGGGGCCGUUCGUGGGGCCCGCGCGGCAGUGAGAGCACGUGGCUGCCCGUGGGAGGAAAGGAAACAAACGGACGGAGGGGCGGGCGGCAGCGUGCAGCGGCGGAUGGCCACAGGAGUUGGGUGGCUCUGGCGCCGCCAUGGCGUGCGAUCCGUGCAUCAUGUGUCAGUCCAGGGGAGGAGAGGAUGGGACAAGAAAACCUUGGCGGCCAAGCGACACAACACACGGGGGCGCCAGGAGAUCCAUCCACACGCAUGCAGGCACUUGCGGCUUCUGUGGCAAGCACGUGAGCCACGCCGAGCGCACUCCGAGUUUAGUUGGCUGGUGUUUCUUUGUCGCGCGCCAGGUGUUCGACCGCGCGCCCCACAGGGACGCCUUCCUCUGGAACGUCGUGCUCCAAGGCUACGCGCGGGCCGGACCGUCACACGGGCGAGAGGCAAUCGCGCUCUUCGCGCGCAUGCACGCGAGCACCGGGGCGCCCGCGGCAUCCAACAUCUACACGUACACGUUCGACGUCAAGGCGUGCUUUCGUGGCCGACGCGCUCGUCGCGUUCUACGCCAGGCGCGGCGACGUGGCGGCGGCGGCGAGGAAGGUGUUCGACGUGGCCGCCGCCAAGGACGUCGUGAGCUGGAUUCCAACUCGUUGAUCGCCGGCUACGCCCAGAACGGGCGCUCGGACGAGGCGGUCGCGCUGCUCCGUUCCAUGCCGCGGCGCGACGUGCCGGCCAGACCUCGUCACCUUGUGGGGGUGUUUGGAUCCCCGGACUAAAUUUUAGUCCCUGUCACAUCGAAUGUUUGGACACUAAUUAGGAGUAUUAAACAUAGGCUAAUUACAAAACCAAUUUCACAACCCCUAGGCUAAAUCACGAGACGAAUCUAUUAAGCCUAAUUAGUCCAUAAUUUGACACUAUGAUGCUACAGUAAACAUUCGCUAAUGAUGGAUUAAUUAGGCUUAAUAGAUUCGUCUCGCGAUUUAGCCUACGGGUUCUGCAAUUAGUUUUGUAAUUAGCUCAUGUUUAGUCCUCCUAAUUAGCAUCCGAAUAUCCGAUGUGACACAGACUAAACUUUGGCUGCAGGAUCCAAACACCCCCUUAGUCGCCGUGCUCCCGGCCUGCGCGGCGUCGGCGGCCAAUCCACGGGCCACAGUUGCUGUUUUUUGACAAAAAAAAAAUCCUGCACACCAAAGUACGUACUGCUCUGGUAGCUUCGGAAUGGUUUUGUCCUUCCUGAUCCCAGUACUGCUCUUUUCUUUAGCAUGCUUGCAAGAUUCAAGAUCAUGUGGGCCUUGUUUACUUCCCAAGUUGGAAGUUGCAAAAUUGGCAUUUUGCCAUAAAUGCGACACUGUAGCGUUUCGUUUGUAUUUGUAAAUUAUUGUCCAAAUAUUGACUAAUUAGGCUUAAAAGAUUCGUCUCGCAAAGUACAACAAAACUGUGCAAUUAGUUUUUGAUUUCGUCUACAUUUAGUACUCCAUGCAUAUACCGCAAGUUUGAUGUGAUGGGGAAUCUUCUUUUUGCAUAGUGUCAAAGUUGGGAGUUUGGAGGGAAGUAAACAGGCGUGGUCUUGCAAGAUGGAAAAAGUAAAGAAACGCACUGAAUCUCUACUACAUUACAUGUACGGAGCAGCAGAAUGACCGCACCGAAUUCUUUCCACCGAGAAAGACCUGCGCGAAAAAUAGCACCCGCUUGUCCUGGUCUCCGGCGUCGGCGUCCAUUCUCGUAGCCAAGAAGUUGACAUGGUAGAUUCCCUGCAUCCGGACGUCGCUUCUUGCCACGGUACAGAUGGUGUCAAACUUGUAGCUUUCGUCCCGCCAGAUCCAAGAAUUACUACUAAUUACUGGUGUGUAAAUUUCAAACAGCACCAGCAACAGAAAAUAAUCAGAUACUUAGGAGAUGAAAACAAAUUACCAGCAAGAGGCAGACGCUGUCCAUUAGGAAGCUUUGUUUCCUUUCGAAUGCCCUUCUCUCCUUGGCUAUUUCUGCCAGGGCCCUUCGAUGCAUCACCGUCACAACCGGUGGUGACUUGAAGACGGGAAGGGUCGUCGCAUGCGAAGACAGUAACGUGGAGAUGUGAUCCAUGGCCUCAAUGGAUAGCUCAUGGCCUUCCGCAGGCAGGAGAUCACACAGCUUGGCUUCUAAUGCAGGCGUCAUAGAAUCCAAGUGCGCCAUCAUGGCAGCCUGCCUGGGGUGUUUCAUGGCCUUGACUGCAGCCUCGGUGGCAGACAAGUCGUCGCUGGAGCUUACGACAGCAUGGUGCCCGGCCCCUUCCGCCAGCUCUGCCGCGACACGGAGGGCUCCAGUCUGCACCGCCCUGACAUAGACUUCUUUGGCACGGUGUUUGCUGAGGUGCCGCCGCCGGCGAUGGCGGCGCCGCCAGCGAACAUCGUCGACGACCAGCCGGCGCCGACGCCUCAGGUGCCGCAAAAGAGGCACAGCAAGAGGCUGCUGGCCAGGCCUUCUUCUGUCCCGGUGUCUCGCAGGUCGACGCACCGACUGAUGCGCCAGCUUGACAUCGUGGGGCAGGACCAGGCAAUUGGAGAUGAGGCGGCGGCGCAGUACGAGAAGAUGUACAAGGGACCGAUGCCGAGGAAGACGGUGGCGGCCCUGGCGGCUGUCUCCCGCGUUGCUAGUGGUGUGGUGAUGGCGGCCCUUGCUGCAAUCAACUGUUGUGGGUCUUGUGGGUGUCGUCUAUUGGUGAUAAUGAAUAGCAACUUUGCAAUUUUCAACUGGAACGUCAGGGGCCUCAAUUCAGCUGCGCGCCGUGAGGAGGUGCUCAAGUUGUUACAGGCAUCUCGUCCAAUGCUAGUCUGCUUGCAGGAGUCCAAGCUAGAAGAAAUCACUGACAGUUUGGCAGUGGAGUUUCUUGGACAACGCCUAUCCAGUUUCAGUUACCUACCAGCCCUGGGAGUUAGUGGUGGGAUCAUCCUGGCUUGGGAUGAUGAUCACAUUCAGGCAGGCAGUGUCUCUCUGAAGGAAUUCUCUCUGACAGCAACUGUUACACAACGCCUCACAAAUGUCUCCUUCAUUAUCACUGUUGUGUAUGGACCGGCCACAGAUGCAGAUAAACCUCGUUUUCUGGAAGAAUUGAAAGGGAUCAAGCCAGUGGACAACCAACUUUGGUUAUGUCUGGGAGAUUUCAAUUUGAUAUACUCAGCCCAAGAUAAAAACAACCUGAACCUGAACCGUCGCUUCAUGGGGAUGUUCAGAAGAACUCUGGAUCAAUGUGAGCUGCUGGAGAUAUGCUCUGCAAAAUCGUAAGUAUACUUGGAGCAAUGAAAGGGAGCGGCCAACACUUGUCAGACUUGAUCGAGUCUUUUGCAAUAAAGAGUGGGAUAUUGCUUUUCCGUCUAUUUGCUUGCAUGCACUGUCCUCUUCAGCUUCAGACCACUGUCCAUUAUUUCUGUCACAAAUCCGACAACAGCCCCAGCGAGAGCGGUUCAAGUUUGAACAAUUUUGGACAAAGGUUCCUGAUUUCCUUGAUGUGGUCAGAAAUGCUUGGGAGCUGCCGGUCACGGGCAUAUCAGCUUUGAAUAUUCUUCAUCACAAAAUGUGCAACACAGCUAAGGCACUUCGUUCUUGGAGUAGCUCUAUUUUUGGUGAAGCGCUCCUACAGUUCCACAUGGCCCAAGAGAUAAUCCUCAGGUUAGAUAUGGCUCAGGAUACACGAGUACUGACAGAGGAGGAGAAGAAGCUGAGGAAAGCAUUGAAGGUGAGAGUGCUGGGACUAGCAGUUGUGGAACGCUCACGCCGACGACAAUGUUCCAGACUGACUUGGCUCAAGGAGGGUGAUACUUGUACAAAGUUUUUUCAUUUGAAAGCAAAUGCAAGAAGAAGGAAAAACUUCAUCCCAAGUCUCACAAAAAGCAAUGUUGAUAUCAUCUGGUCUCAUGAGGAAAAGGAAGAGGAAAUAGCACAGCAUUUUCAGAACACAAUUGGCAAAAAGGAACAAUGCGCAUGCAGCUUCAAUUGAGAUGACCUGGAAAUGGCAGGAGUUCAGAUGGAGGGCUUGGAUGCACCAUUCACUGAGGAAGAAAUCUGGUCAGCAAUCUCUCAAAUGCCCUCGGAAAAGGCACCAGGUCGUGCCUUCUAUAAGAUGUGUUGGCCAAUAGUUAAGAUUGAGGUGGUCAAUGCUUUUGCAUGCAUCUACAACAUGCAUACUGGCCCAUUAUUUAAAUUGAAUGGGGCGUCAAUAUCUCUGCUACCAAAGAAAGAGCUGGCAGAGAGAGUGCAAGACUUUCGGCCCAUUAGCCUGAUCCACUCAUUUGCAAAGAUUGUAUCAAAGGUGUUGGCACUGAGAUUGGCACCGUUCAUUGACAGUUUAAUAUCUAACUCGCAGAGUGCAUUUAUCAAGAGAAGAUGCAUCCAAGAUAUUUUUUAUAUGUCAGAAAUCUAGCCAGAUCCUACCACAGGACCAAAACACCUGCCCUGCUGUUGAAACUGGACAUAUCUAAAGCUUUUGACUCUGUCUCUUGGGAAUACUUGCUAGAGUUGCUACAGAAACGAGGUUUCCCUGCAAGAUGGAGGGACUGGCUGGCACUAAUCUUCACUAGUUCAUCCUCUUCAGUGCUGCUAAAUGGAGUGCCUGGUCCAAUAAUCAAGCAUCAACGUGGUCUUCGACAAGGGGACACCCUCUCCCCCUAUCUGUUCAUCUUGGCGAUUGACACCUUGCAGAAUUUAUUCAAGAUUGCUACUGACGAAGGAUGCCUGUCCACAAUAAGGGGUCGGCAUGCCAAACUGCGCCUAUCUCUUCAUGCUGAUGAUGCGGUGAUAUUUGUGAACUCGUUGAAACAAGAUGUAGAUAUGGUGGUUGAGAUAAUGCAAAGGUUCGAUGAUGCCAUAGGAUUGAGAAUCAAUCUGCAGAAGAGCACAGUAGCAAGCAUUGGAGGACAUGACCUGGAUUUGGAUGAAAUCCUAGCUUCUUUCCCAGAACAACGUGUGGGUUUUCCCAUUACCUACCUUGGCAUUCCGAUCGUGCUGGGUCGUCUACGUUUGGUACACCUACAAAAUGUGCAAGACAAGGCAGUUGCAAAGAUGUCAGGUUGGCAGUGCAAACUUCUGAAUCCGGGAGGACGCAGGGUGCUUGUGCGCUCGGUUCUUAGUUCAUUGCUAGUGUACCUACUCACGGUGAUUAAGCCCCCAAAGAAAUUCAUCAAAGAUUUUGACAAGGUGCGCAGGCGUUUUCUCUGGGCUGGCAAUCAGCAGCUGCAUGGAGGGAAAUGCAAGGUUAGCUGGGCAAGAUUACAAAGUCCAAUUAAGAGGGGCGGCCUGGGGAUUACUGAUCUCGAUGCUUUCAGCAGAGCACUUCGUCUAAGAUGGCUAUGGUUUCGCUGGAAAUACCCAGAGCGUCCAUGGGUUGGCAUGGAGUUACCUGUUGAUGACUUGGACAUGGCCCUUUUCGCAGCAGCAACAAAGUUCACGGUUAACAAUGGACGAACUGCUAGCUUGGUAGUGCACCAGCCAUGCUCUUUCCACACCUGUACAAGCACAGCAAAAGGAAAAACAGAACAGUAGUAGAGGCAAUGCAGAAUGAACAAUGGAUUUCAGAUCUUAUGCAUGAUCUCACGGUGCCACUCUUGGAUGAAUUUGUGAAGCUAUGGGGACUGAUUGAGGAGGCCCAGUUUGAUCAUGGCGCCACAGAGCCAGACACAAUACUCUGGACAAGAACUGCUUCAGGUGAAUAUUCAGCAAGAUCGGCAUACGACAUGCAAUUUGAAGGUGGUGCCCUCUCGUCGUUCCCAAAGACGGUUUGGAAGGUCUGGGCACCUUUCAGGUGCAAGUUUUUCAUGUGGUUGCUCCUACAGAACAGAGUCUGGACAACUGAUAGGCUGCUGCUCAGAGAAUGGCCUAACUCAUACUUCUGCCAGAUGUGUUACAGCAGUCUUGAGACAGCACGUCACCUGGUGUCCAGUUUCUUCUUCCAUUUGGCAAGCAGUCGGCACCUGGUGUGGUCGCGCCUCCCUGCAACCUAAUGCCUGGAACAAAGAGGCUGAUCUGGUGGGUUGGUUCCAUAAUUUGGCUGGAAGUGCUAUGGACGCUGCUACGAAAGGAGCUCGCUCCAUGGCGAUACUGGUAGUGUGGACGAUAUGGUGUGAGCGAAACAACAGAAUUUUCAACAAUCAGGAGAAGCCGAUCGCAAAGCUUGUUGAGGAUGUUAAGGAUGUUGCUCGUCUAUGGUGUGUGGCUGGAGCCAAGCACUUGGCUGUCAUAGUUGAUAGAUCAGGCCGCGAGUAAUCGCUGUAAUGUUUUUUUUUCUUCCGUUGUUGCGGGCCUAUUUCGAUGCCCCGGCCUAUCCUUCAGGAUGGGUUACUAAAACUUGGCGCCUCUGGUGCCUGUAAUUGCUUCUCUUUUUAUUAAUUAACGCCGGGAAUCAUUCCGGGUCUUUCGAAAAAAAAAGACACGGAGGUUGCAGUUAGUGAAGUAGAGGUACUCCAAGGCACCGUGGCCGGACAACAUGCUGUACUUGGUGCAGAGGAAGACGACCUGGGCAGUGAGGGCGUUGAACCCAUUACGAAGCAUCAGGUCAGUGCAGAUCAUGUUUUCGUUUUCAUGUGCUGGGAAGUUGAGCUGGUACCGUAUCGCAUUGAGGAGGAUGUUGAAGAUAGGGUCCUCGAGUGGACCGUACAAGUAACCUCUGAGCACUAGCCCAUGGUGAAGCACCAUUGCUGAAGCUGGAGGCAGCUGGGAUAUUGCGCUGAGGUGCGUGGAUGUAAUCGACAAGUAGCGCCUCGAUUCUCUUCGGAGACAAUUCCUUAUUUGACGCCAGACAAAUGACUCGUUCCUUUCUUGGCUCUUAAAAAAUUUUAGUUUGCUAUUUGACACCGGUUCAACUUUCGUUCUUUAUAUGAUAAUAUGUUGGAUUUUCCGUCUGGUAACCGUUAAAUACCCUGCAAAAAGACGAUUUUGUCCUGUGGGUCCCACCACCCUUCUCCUUCCUCUCCUCCCCUCCUCCCUCCUCUGCUCCACACCACGCCCGGCCGUGCCUCCCCCUUGCUCCACACCGUCACCCUCCGUCCAACCGCGCCUCCCUCAUUCCUCCUCAUUGCCGCAGGGGUCGGCCGCGCCCCUCCACGUCCAGGUCACCGGCAGCGCACCCAGCCGGGACCCGAGCUCGAGGAAGUCGGGCGCCAGGAGCGGCCUUUGGUCGUGCGCCGCGUAGGGGAGCAGCGUGGCCGCCGGCCGCGCGUGCAGCCUGCCCUCCGCCCAUGCCAUCCACGCCUCACUCCGCUUUCUCCGUGACUGCGACACCACGCUCGCGCACAUCGACCAUGGCCGCCCGCUCACAUCGCAGGACCACCGCUACGGCUCGUACGCCCCGCCGACGCCGGCGACGAUGGCGGCCGGGGUGUUGCCCCCGCGCACGCGGGAGAAGGAUUUGCAGCGGCAUAGGUCCAGCAGCGUGGAGGCAGCGGAGCCCGAGGGGCCACCUCCGGCCGCGGCGGCGGUGUUGAACGGCUGGGAGAAGAGGGAGCGGAUGGCGGAGGUGGACUUGCGGCUCGGCGCAGCGGCCACGGCAGCGGAGGCCUUGAGCCCGGCCAGGUGCUCGCGGAGGUAGGCGGCGCAGAAGCCCGUGAAGGACUCCCCGUGGUGGAGAUCGCAGGUGGUGCUCACCGACCGACGUGGAGGUGGCACUGGUGAGGCUCCAUCUGCAGGCGGCGAUGAUGCGGCGGGCGCCACUGGAUCCGACCUGCCCGCGCGCGUUCCAGAGGCGCAGCCGUUUCGACACCCACGAGGUGUUCCUAGACCCCGCGAGGCGCGCCGACCCGGCCGCUGCCGGCGCACACAGCGAGAUCGUGCGGUGUGGAGCAGAGGAGGGAGAAGGGAAGGAGAGGAGGGAGAAGGGUGGUGGGGUCCAAGAGAUAAAAUCAUCUUUUCGUAGGGCAUUUAACGGUGGUUGGAUGAAAAAUCGAACAGAGUGUUAAUUUAGGAACAAAAGUUGAAGUCAGUAUCAAAUGAGGAAGGAAAAAAUUUUAAGAGCACGAAAGGAACGGAUCAUUUGUCUAUCUGGUGUCAAAUAAGUAAUUAUCCGUAAUCGCAUGGAGAGACCUCCGAGUCCCAACCCGCUUGCUGGUCCUUGAGUAGGGAUGAGCAGCGGUGGGUGCAUGUGUUUAGAUUCUGACAACUCGCCACCGGCACCACUGCGUCAUCAGUGUCAGGGUAGCUCAACCGCAGGUUGUAGAGAUACCGGCCGUCCGGUGCUCUCCCGUACUUCAGAGAGCUGUAGAUGUCAUCGACAGCGACCUUGCAGAGCUGAUCGGUACGCAGCCAUGCCGCGAUCCUGUCCACAUGGUCGGCAACAAACGUUUCGGUGGCGAGCGCGACCAGGCGAUCAGGGUUGGGGUGCUCAGCAGCCAUGGCAGCGUACAUGAGCGAGUCCUUGAUCGUGAGGAUCCAGGCGUCAUCAUCAAAGCUGGGCAGCAGCGCCUCCUCAACCAGGCACUGCGUGUCGAAUUCUCGCUCGACAAGAUCCAUGGCCAAGUAGAUGUCAGCCUUGGCCAAGUAGAGGUACCCCACGGCCUGCUCCAAGGUGAGGUAGCGAUACCCGCUCAUCAAGAAUGUGGUGAGACCAUCCAGAGAUCUCUCCGCCGUGUUCUGCCAGUACCAGCUGCUGUGCAUCUUGUCGAGGAACUCGGUGGUGAUGUCCUCCCUCUUGUACGGUCCUUGGCCACUUCGGCCAUGCGCGACGUGGCGUGGAGGAUGACGUUGGAGACCGGCUCCAGGAGGCCGUAGCAGUGCCCGGCGACGGAGAGGCAAUGUAUCGGAUUCGGGUAGUCGCGGAUGGGGAGGCGGUCAAGCGCCUCCACGUAGAACCCGCAUAUGGUGUCGAGCAGGGCUUGAUGGGGAUCCUCUCGAUCAAUGCCGCUGUCGCCACAGCAGCAAACUGGGAGGUGGUUGCUGGCCAUUGGAGAGCAAGCACACCGGCGGCUGGCUGUUCCGGCGAGUCGACGACGAUGCUGAUUGUUAGGGCCUUGGGAUGCCGGUUGAUGAUGUUACUUGCUCCAGGCCUUCUCGGGGCUCAGGACACGGCUGGUACGAGAUACCGUGUCCGAUUCCGUUUGGAUGACAGCGGAGAUGGGAGUGAAAGAAACAAGGAAUUCGACUUGGACUCGGCCAGGCCCGGACCACGGACACCGAUAGGGUAGGAGGAGAAAGUGGGUCCCAGGAGAAAGAAACCUCACACCGGCCGGCUCGUCUCCUCGUCCUGUUCGGACAAGACUGCAAAGCCUGUUAGUCAUCUCCUACCGUCAUCACCAUCUCCUCCCAACCAGCUCAUUACACUAGGGACGGACGUGCGUUCGAAUUACCAGAAUUGGUUACUUGAGAGAACUUCAUCAACACAGUUACACAAGGGUAUCGCGUUUUCAGUAGGGAUUAGUAGGUUUUAUAAAACUUUAUCAUCUGCUGGACCAUUUUAGUUGUACAGAGAGGAAACACGAGUAGUAGUAGUGAAGAAAAAGAGGGAAGGAUCAUUUUAUGCCCAUUCAACAAUCUAUGCAAAAUACUCGAUCGAUCAACUUCAUAAUUUAAUUUCUCUUAUACAUAUAGUAUAGCAUUACCAUGCCUCAAGCUUGCAUCUCAAUGGCGAGCUCGAUCUUUGCAGUAGCUAGCAGUAGUAACUAACGGCACGCACAAAGCAUCGAUGAGCACCAUGCAUGGAUCAUCACAGCGAAGACGUGCUUAGCUUGCGUAACCAGUAUGUAUCGUCGGAGUAGCUAGCCGAUGAAUUAGUAGCUGUAGUUCUUGACGAACAUGCCCUCCUUGGCCUCGGCGGCCUCGCCGUCGGAGGUGUACUUGCCGAGCUGCGCCAGCGAGUUGGCCUUGGCGCGCAGCAGCAGCGCGUCCUGCGCCGCCUUGACGUUCUCCGGCACGCCGCCCCACGUCUUGAGGCAGGUGUUCUGCAGCGCCCGCGCGUAGGAGAAGGACACGUGCCACGGGUUGGGCCCCUGGUUCAUGGCGUUGAGGUUCUGCGUCGCCUCCACCUCCGACUGCCCGCCGGAGAGGAACAUGAUGCCGGGGACGGAGGGCGGGAUGCGGCGGUGGAGGAGCUUCAGGGUGUACUCGGCGACCUGCUCCGGCGUGGCCCGGUCCUUAGCCUCGGCGCCCGGCGUCACCAUGGAUGGCUUGAGCAGGAUGCCCUCGAACAUGACGUUGUUCUCCGCCAUGGCGUAGAAGGUCUCGGCCCACACCUUCUGCGCCACCUCGAAGGUCCGCUCGAUGCCGUGCUCGCCGUCCAGCAGGAUCUCCGGCUCUACGAUCGGCACAAGUCCGU